rnacentral:rRNA from 1 species
UUCGCAGGGGGUUUGCCAAGUCCGACGUGAAAUCUCACGGCUCAACUGUGAAACUGCAUUGGAUACUGGUGAGCUAGAGUGCACGAGGGGUGAGCGGAAUUCCAGGUGUAGCGGUGGAAUGCGUAGAUAUCUGGAAGAACACCGAUGGCGAAGGCGGCUCACUGGCGUGCUACUGACCCUCAGGGACGAAAGCGUGGGGAGCAAACAGGAUUAGAUACCCUGGUAGUCC